rnacentral:rRNA from 1 species
ACGGCGGCUUAACACAUGCAAGUCGAGGGGUAACAGAGGAGCUUGCUCUUGCUGACGACCGGCGCACGGGUGCGUAACGCGUAUACAAUCUGCCUUACACUAAGGGAUAGCCCAGAGAAAUUUGGAUUAACACCUUAUAGUUUAUUUUUAUGGCAUCAUUUAAAUAAUAAAGUUUACGGUGUAAGAUGAGUAUGCGUCCCAUUAGUUUGUUGGUAAGGUAACGGCUUACCAAGACUACGAUGGGUAGGGGCCCUGAGAGGGGGAUCCCCCACACUGGUACUGAGACACGGACCAGACUCCUACGGGAGGCAGCAGUGAGGAAUAUUGGACAAUGGAGGAGACUCUGAUCCAGCCAUGCCGCGUGCAGGAAGACGGUCCUAUGGAUUGUAAACUGCUUUUAUACAGGAAGAAUAAGGACUACGUGUAGUCUGGUGACGGUACUGUAAGAAUAAGGACCGGCUAACUCCGUGCCAGCAGCCGCGGUAAUACGGAGGGUCCGAGCGUUAUCCGGAAUUAUUGGGUUUAAAGGGUCCGUAGGCGGGCUGUUAAGUCAGGGGUGAAAGUUUGCAGCUCAACUGUAGAAUUGCCUUUGAUACUGAUGGUCUUGAAUUAUUGUGAAGUGGUUAGAAUAUGUAGUGUAGCGGUGAAAUGCAUAGAUAUUACAUAGAAUACCGAUUGCGAAGGCAGAUCACUAACAAUUGAUUGACGCUGAUGGACGAAAGCGUGGGUAGCGAACAGGAUUAGAUACCCUGGUAGUCCACGCCGUAAACGAUGGAUACUAGCUGUUUGGAUUUCGAUCUGAGCGGCCAAGCGAAAGUGAUAAGUAUCCCACCUGGGGAGUACGUUCGCAAGAAUGAAACUCAAAGGAAUUGACGGGGGCCCGCACAAGCGGUGGAGCAUGUGGUUUAAUUCGAUGAUACGCGAGGAACCUUACCAGGGCUUAAAUGUAGAUUGACAGGUUUAGAGAUAGACUUUCCUUCGGGCAAUUUACACGG